rnacentral:rRNA from 1 species
GGUUAAGCGACUAAGCGUACACGGUGGAUGCCCUGGCAGUCAGAGGCGAUGAAGGGCGUGCUAAUCUGCGAUAAGCGCCGGUAAGGUGAUAUGAACCGUUAUAACCGGCGAUACCCGAAUGGGGAAACCCAGUGUGACUCGUCACACUAUCAUUAACUGAAUCCAUAGGUUAAUGAGGCGAACCGGGGGAACUGAAACAUCUAAGUACCCCGAGGAAAAGAAAUCAACCGAGAUUCCCCCAGUAGCGGCGAGCGAACGGGGAGGAGCCCAGAGCCUGAAUCAGCAUGUGUGUUAGUGGAAGCGUC